UACAGAGGGGGCGAGCGUUGUUCGGAAUUACUGGGCGUAAAGGGCGCGUAGGUGGCCUGCUAUGUCGAACGUGAAAUCCCUGGGCUCAACCCAGGAACUGCGUCCGAAACUGGCAGGCUCGAAUCCGGGAGAGGGAUGUGGAAUUCCAGGUGUAGCGGUGAAAUGCGUAGAUAUCUGGAGGAACACCGGUGGCGAAGGCGGCAUCCUGGGCCG
rnacentral:rRNA from 1 species